GCGGCCGUGGCGGAAUUGGUAGACGCGCUAGCUUGAGGUGCUAGUGCCGCGAGGCGUGGAAGUUCGAGUCUUCUCGGCCGCACCA
rnacentral:tRNA from 2 species